AACAAUGUAAAUGGUGGCAUAGGGCGAAGAAAAAUUUCUGGACCUGGAGUAAAGCAUAAUGUAACCCAGUGGUUCCUAAUCUGUGGAGAUCUUUCUGGAAAUUUUAGUCAAGUGGCUUCCAAGUAUCCUUGUAAGAAACUGGAGUGAGAAACUAUAGAUGGGUUCAGUAAAAGAGCAGCUUGCUGCUGUGGAAAAAGAAAUAUUUAAAAUAAACCAAGAGGUUCAAUGGUUGCUUGAUAAACAGAAAACUUUGAAAGAAAAAAGAAACCAAUUAAAGCUUCAGCUGGAACAGGAAGCAUCUGCAGAGUUAGCCAACAUUGACUGGA